rnacentral:rRNA from 1 species
UAAAGCGAUUAUAGCUUAGAUUUAGAAUCCGGCCCUCGUAGGGGGGCCUAAGUUAUAAUCUAUAGAGGAAGCUUCUAGCGCGGCGCCUUCUAAGUUCCCUAAAACGGGACGCCGUAGAGGGUAAGAGCCCCGUCUAAUCGGCCGCCGGCGCCUAUAUAAAGCCCCUUCGAUAAGUCGAGUAGUUUAGGAAUACUACUUAAAACGGGAGGUAUAUAUCUUCUAAAGCUAAAUACCGGCUAAAGACCGAUAGCGUAUAAGUAGAGUAAUUAAAAGAUAAAAAGCACUUUAAAAAGAGGGUUAAAUAGUAUAUAAAAUUAUUAAAAGGGAAGCGCUCGUAAUUAGAUUUAAGCGUAGUAGACCGCCUAAUGCUCUGCGUCGGUACGCCCCGCCGCGCCUAGGCUAGCAUCGGCUUACAGCGGUAGAUAAAGGCGGCAGGAACGUAGCCCCUUUAGGGGUAUUAUAGCCUACUACGUAAUACGCCGCCCGUAGGCUAAGGAACGCGCCCUCGCAGUAAGGAUACUAGCGUAAUAGUCGUUAGCGACCUAUUUUAAAAUACGGACUAAAGAGUCGUCUUCGUAUAUAAGUAUUUAGGCGCUAAACCCUUACGUAGAAUAAAAGUAAACGCUAGUAGGAUCCCCCCUGCGGGGCGUACUAUCGACCGAUCCUAAAGCCUAUCGGAUAGAUUUAAGUAGGAGUAUAUAGGGCUAGACCUAAAAGAAGGUAAACUAUACCUAUAUAGGGUAAAGCUAAAGGAAACUCUAGUAGAGGCUUAUCGUAGUUCUCAUAUAUAAAUCGAUC